UCGAUCGGGUCGGUCGCCGCGCAGAACGGUGCGUAGUUGCGAUGCGUCGCGGCGCAUUUCAACUCGCAUCCUCGUCGUCCCAUACGAAUUUUUGACGCGAGCGAUUGUUUUGAAAAUGCCGUGGAGUGUCGACAGUGAAGUUGUGACGAACGGCCAGUAUGUAUGUUGCCACUAAAUAUCGGGCGUUCAUGUAAACAUCCGUCGUGUCGGAUACGAUGCAUGGUGCGUAGUCGUGUCGCGUUCAAUGAUCAUGUUUCGCAUCUUCUCCGUGGCCUCGUAUCUCGAGUUUUCGACGGACGAACCGGGAGUGUCGAAACGAAGGGUCGCGCGUUCGUGCAAGGCGUGAAUCAAGACGAAUCGUGAAGAGGAUCUUUGAUGUCGCUCAGACGGCAAAGGUCGCCGCGGUCGGUCGGGACAGUUCGAAAUUGCGUUGCGCGUUUACUCGCGUCUUUUCCGUUGCCCCGUACUCCGUAUUUUAAGUUUUCGACGGGCGUGUCAAAGGCGAGUACCGGGGUCGAAAGCGAAAUAUCGCCCAUUCGUGCAAAGUGUGAAUAAGACGCAUCGUCGUAAGGAGCAUCAUCUUGAAGCUGGCCGAGACGAAGCUGGACGGAGCGACCAGAGGCGAACGAAUACGGCGGACGCGAUGCGAAGCGGGAGCGAGUGGUGUCGCAAACUCAUUAAAUAAGUAAUGAGUGUUAAAAUGAAAAGAGGAAAGUAACUUUUGUGAAGUUGGACGGAUGCAGAUGCAGCACCGGAGGAUCCGGUUCAGGCCAAGCAGGAGCGGUCCAAAAAUGUGCAAGGCGUCGCUGUCCUAAAUUGGCGAUACGAGCACAGUGUCUAUAAGUAUCUGUCGGGUAAACCAGCCCUGGAAGUUCUGACGUGUUGCGUUGGUGAGAAUGCCAGAAGCGAACGUGGGGCGGAAGAGACACGGAGAGGAUGGAAGAGGAGACAGAGAGAAGCAGGAAUGGGACCGCAAGUGGGUGGAGGAGAGCGAGAGAGAACGGUGGGACGGUGUGCGAGGGAAAAGACGAGCGAAGCGGAGAACCGAGAGAGCGGAGGCAUCCGCGCGCUCAUUUCCGUUUUGGGGCCGUCGAGGGGGGACGAAAAGGGGGGCGCUAACUCGCGAGAUAUUAAUUCCGUGUUAGCGCUAGGAGGGUUGCAGAGGCGAAAACUACGUGCCGAGGGGGAGUACUACCCUGUCCCCCCCCCUCCUCCGCAUCCCCCUGCUACCCGCGUCUCUGUCCCACCGCCGUUCUUCUCCCCCGUUCUCCGCCGUGUCCACCAAUGUAACCACCCUUCGCGCGCGCGAGGGUGGGAAGGCGUUACAAAUCAGAGAUUAGCCAUAGUUAACUCGACUUGCGCAGUCAAACAGUUAAUCAAUAAACGAUUAUUUACAUCGUGCGCCCGCGGCGUGCUCGCGCGCACCCAACGCACCCAACGCGACCGUAUUUUCCCGCCGCGGGAUGACGAAUGCGGCGCUGAUAACGCCGCUACUCGCUGGACCACCCGGGUCGCUCGGGAUUAAAAUUAAAAAUAUACCUAUCUCUCUUCAGCGAUCGUCCACCGACUGGUAAUUAAUUCGUGUCCUACGUUUGUGAGAGUAACAUAGACACGCACGGCUCAAAUCGAUCAAUGUGAUACGUGAUUGUAAUUGGCGUCGCGCUAUGUUAAACAGUUUAUUAAUGAACUCAUUGCAGUCUUUCUGUUCAAUUUACAAUUGCACCCUAAUUGUUAAUUCUGGUUAUAUCAAGUGGCAAUUGAAUCGACAGAAUGACUUCUCAACGGUAAAAUUGCUUAAAAUUUUCGGAGUACACGUAUUUGAAAUGAUAAAAAUGAAACGAUAUUUAUUUUGAAAAAAAUUCUUUUUUUAAUUAACGAUUCAAUCUCAGUUACAACAUUUGAACUUACAAGAUGCUUUAAACCCUGCGCUCUUGUGUCUAUCUGUGUCUCUGCAAUUAUUACACACGAUGUCACGUUAAUUAACUCCUAUAAUAAUAACAGAUUAUUUUCAAUUGUCUGAAAAAGAUGUAACUCAGCUAGGCUUCAAUCUGUAACAUCGUUGUAAUAUCUUCGAUUGCAAAUACGUUAGCCGAACUUGGAUAAAAUUCAGAAUGAAAUUUGUGUCGAAUGAUGGGUAUUUGACCCUAAUAAAGUACGUGGUAUAAUAAUGAAAUCUGGAAUUCCGAUUGGAGGAUAUAGACACACGAAGAAAGGAAAUUUCGGACAACGCCGGGCGUCCAUCUCAGGAAGGCGUCGAUUAGGACCGAAGGACGUCGCGCGCAGGCAGCGUCGACGACCUCAUCGUCGCGAUACCUCUCUCUCGGAACCGAACCGUUUCGCGGAGAGGAUCAUGGUGGCUGACGAUCACGGUGCCGGUAACAAACGGCACGAUGAGUGGGCACCCACUCGCCCACUCUCGUCGGGAGGGUAACGGCGGUGCUGCGGCAGCAGGAGGGCGCGUCGACGAGGAUAGAGAGGGAGGAAGAGGAGGUGGAGGAGGAGGAGGAGGAGG